GAAGGAAGUUUAGGUUGACUGCCUCAUC
rnacentral:piRNA from 1 species